ACAUUUGUACAUCAGAAGUCAAUAACAGAUUUCUUUUUUUUCCCUUCUCCUCUGCAUAUGUUGUCGACUACUCUCAUGCCCUAAUCUUAGAGAUUGAGUUUCAUUUCCAACAAGACAUAGUUUUCAAUAGCACUGCAUCCUAUUAUGUCUUGAUCUAUGGUAAGGCAGUUAGGCCUUUCCUUGCCAAGAAGAGUUUUAGACAAGGAGAUCCUUUGUCCUUUCUUAUUUGUUCUGGUUAAGGAGUACUUUAGCAGGCUCUUGAAAAUUUUGCAACUAAAUCCUGAUUUUAACUACCAUCCCAAAUUCUUAUGUGAAACUGGAAUUUGCUAAUGAUCUCCUUCUAUUUUGUGGAGGGACAAGAUCGAGUUGUAUUUUACUUUUGAGGGGGAAGCUUGGAGGUGGAACAGGAGAUUAUGGAUCUUUGUUUGGAUACAAUAAAUUAGGAGAGCUACCAAUUAAAUACUUGGAGUCCUUUUGAGCUCAAAGAAAUUAUCCAUUAUCCAGUAGCAGCCUCUGCUUGAAAGGAUGUUGGGAAGAAAUACAUCAUGGACCUCUAAGUACUUAUCCUAUUCAGUGACUAAAAGGGCGUACACAUUACCUUCUUCAGACCUCACUGGUGGGAUUUCAUUGGAUUGUUGUUGUUGUUGUUGUUGUUGCAAGGCUUAAUUAUGAGUUGGCAACAUGAAAUAGAAUGGACAGAGAAGCUAAUCGAGUGCAGGGCUAGAGGUGCUUCAAAUGGCUAUUACUGGAAGUGUGUAUUAUCUCUGGCAAGAACAGAACAUGAGAAAAUUCCAAAACAAGCAAAGGCAAGAAAGAGGAACAGGUUACAAGGCAAAUUGUACAAGACAUAUUCUGCUAUGAAGGCUCGACUGAUUAGUAGACUAGAACAACUUAAUUUAAUUUUAUCUUUAGAUUAGCUUGGUAAUAUGGUGUUGAAGUCGGCUACAAGUUUAGUAGCUGCUCUUGUGAUGAUUUCUCUGUAAUUGGGGCUUGUUGCCCAGUUCCAUUUUUGCUUAUUUUUCUUUUA